GACAUCACAAUCAGGCCACUGGGGCACAUAGUCUCAUCAUUUCUCCCUCAUGAAAAAUUCUCCAGGAGCCAAGAUCCACAAGGAGAGGCACAUUAGGAACCAGGGACCAAUGCUGCCAGUGGCUGGAUUUGUUGCAUUCCUUUGAAGGACUGUGGGAUAUUUACCUGUACCAACAUCCCCUGCUGAUGGAUAUGUAUUUUCACUUUUUUGAUAUUGUAAAUAUGAGUACUAUAAAUAGUAUGUCCUAAAUAGGAAGAAGUUGCUUUAGCUGUUUGCCUCCAUGCCACACGACUACUUGUGCACUUGGGCAAGGACUUCUCCAGGCUGUGACUGGAAGUUGACUAGCCAGCAUUAAUCAAGAUGCUGCCUUGGAAAAACAAGAAUAUGUAGGUAAUUCCUUACCACAACCACAAUAAAAAUUACUGAUGUAUGAAA